GGGGAUGUAGUUCAGUUGGUAGAACGUAUGCUUUGCACGCAUAAGGUCAUCGGUUCGACUCCGUUCAUCUCCA
rnacentral:tRNA from 1 species